ACCCCUGUGGGAGCUGGGGACCAAGGUGUGGCACUGCGAAGAGUCCUUGGCGAGGGGCCACAGGGUCAGGAGACUAUGAUGAACUGAAGCCAGGUGUGGUGGCACACGCCUUUGAUCCCAGCACUUGAGAGCCUGAGACAGGAAGAUCACGAGUUUGAAGCCAGCCAACAGCCUGGCCCAGGGCCACUGCAGAUGGUGCUAAGCCUAGUGGGCAGCCAGCCUUCAUGUGCUCCCAUGCUUUCCUUCUGACCACUCCUCCCACUGUCAGUUAUUUCCAGGAAGAGCCCAGCCAUGGUGGCCAAGUCUCAGCCCAGUUCCCCUGGAGUGACCCUGAGUGUUUUAGUCCUGAGAAACGCGACAGUCCUUUACCAACUCCCCUCCUGCCCCUAUCCCUCCAAGUACAAGUCCACAGUGACACCAUGUGCUGCUGCUCAGAUUUUCAAGUCAAGACAAAGUGUCAUCAGUUAACUUCAAAGGAAAAAUCUUUUGGAAAAGAAUUUCAAGCAAUGACUCAGAAAGUUUCCCUAAGAGGCAAUCCAGAGGCAUCUAAGUCUCAACAAGCUUUUAGGACCGAGGCAGGAGCAGAACAUUCAUGGAAAAAAAAAUCAUAGGAAUGGACAGAAGGAAGUUCUUUUCACAAAAGAAAGGUUCCAGGCAAAUGGCCAGCACCCCUGAAAACCAACACAGCAGGGAAAGACCAGAAAUAUAACAAAUUGGAAUGUGUGUUUCUGGGUACAGAGGCAUCAGAGGGAUGGGCCACGACAAAACACUGGUGGAUAGAGGGUAGGUAGCCAAGGUGUUCCGUGGGAACCAGGCCUGAGUGGUCAGGUAGCAGGUCCCAAUGGGUCAAAGCCUAUGGAUAUCAUGUGUGUGGGAACUUUUUCAGCAAAAACUCACACCUUUUUUGACUUCAGAAAAUUCAUACUAGAGGGCUGGGGGUGUGGCUCAAGCUGUAGCGCGCUCGCCUGG